UGGUGCAGAAUUUCGACGAUAAACUCUUUCGCCGUUGAGGUAUUUCUACGAUCGCGAUAUCACGCUGAAAUGAUGAAGCGGGACUGCGAAAGUCGUAUACUCUCUUGGAAGCCUGGGCGAAAACGGCGAAGACCAAGAAGAAGAACACGAAGAAGAUGAAGAAGAAGAAGAAGAAGAAGAAGAAGAAGGAGAAAAAUGAUAUUGCCGACUCUCAUCUUCGGAUAGGAAGACGGAGAUUUUACGAUGUUGUAAUUACGCAUUUACAUCUGCCCAUCGUAGGCAUUCCGCUUUGCAGCGUUCGCUUCUUCAUCUUCUUAUUCCUCUUCUUCUUCUCGCUCGCGUUUACUGCACAGCAAAACUGCAGCCCCGAAGAAAUCUCGAAGAAAACGAUUAUCGUGUUCAGUGAAACGAAGCAUCAGGAAUAGAACUACACCUCUGUAUAUAAUAGUAUAGAAUAAAAUUUUCCAGCACCUUUUUUGUCACUGAUCUCGAUUUCUAAUCGACGAAAUAUA
rnacentral:misc_RNA from 1 species